rnacentral:rRNA from 1 species
AUUGAACGCUGGCGGCAGGCCUAACACAUGCAAGUCGAGCGGAUGAAGGGAGCUUGCUCCUGGAUUCAGCGGCGGACGGGUGAGUAAUGCCUAGGAAUCUGCCUGGUAGUGGGGGAUAACGUCCGGAAACGGGCGCUAAUACCGCAUACGUCCUGAGGGAGAAAGUGGGGGAUCUUCGGACCUCACGCUAUCAGAUGAGCCUAGGUCGGAUUAGCUAGUUGGGGGGGUAAAGGCCUACCAAGGCGACGAUCCGUAACUGGUCUGAGAGGAUGAUCAGUCACACUGGACCUGAGACACGGUCCAGACUCCUACGGGAGGCACCCGUGGCGAAUAUUUGACCAUGGGCGAAAGCCUGAUCCAGCCAUGCCGCGUGUGUGAAGAAGGUCUUCGGAUUGUAAAGCACUUUAAGUUGGGAGGAAGGGCAGUAAGUUAAUACCUUGCUGUUUUGACGUUACCAACAGAAUAAGCCCCGGCUAACUUCGUG